rnacentral:sRNA from 1 species
GUCUUUUUGUACUUGUCGCUUGUUGAACAGUCGUACCCAGUGACAUUAUUGGGAAGACUCACAUGUCUAGUUCCAAGCAAGAACAAUAUCGGCCAUGAGAACAAAAUGGCGAGAAGCGCUGCCACUCCACAAAGGACUCUUGCCAUGAACACGCUCAUUUGUGGCUUCAAUGGCCUACAGACUCUUCUGUAUCGGUCAGCAGACAGGGCCAAUAGAACAAAGAUAGACAUUAGCGCAACGAAAGUAUUGUUAAAGCGGAAAAACUUACAAGCUCCAACUGCAUAGAAGGUGUACUGAAAGUUCAUUUCAAUAAUCUCAAACGGCAUACAGACUGCGGACCCAACUAAAUCGAUGAGUGCCAGAGCCACAAUGAAGGUCCGGUAGGUACUGCUGUCGAAUUUGAGGAGAUAGACGAACAGGACUGUUAAGUUUCCUGGAACUCCAAUGACUAUGAGGAUUCCCAGAUAGAUCAUGGGAGCGAGCCGCCUGUGUACCUCGAUUUGGUUGAGUUCCUCCAGCGUGAGCAUCAUCGUUUCAUUCCGUACCGACGGGUGGAUCUCAGUUGGUUCCGUCGUGAGAUUUCCUUGGAAGCUUGUAAUAGUCUCAUACAUUACGGUACCGGUAGACAUGAUGGUUAUGAAAUUAUUUUCUCUUUGUUCAAUGAAAGACGCACACAAAUCAAACCUCUAAACUCUAAAACAGCUUAUAUGAAUAUCUGGUAUGACACAGAUUUGUCCCGGCUGGGCAAGAAGUCUCGAGUGCAAUUUCCGAAAUAUAUUCAAGAGGCGUAUAUAUCAACGCAGUUUUAAGUAAGCAUCAGGAAAGUAGUCAUAAUUUUAAAAUGGGAUUGUUGAAUGGGGUCCAACAAUUGAUUCAGGAAGUGUGCAAUUGUCUUUUUACCUCUUUAGAUUGCAUUUAGAUAGGGAGACAAAAACUUCAGAAGACACACCUCGGAAAAACCUUGUAACUCGUGACUUGCAUUCAUUUUUGAAAAUUAUAGAUUAUUUCGUUGUGGCCAUGCAUUAAAAUGUGUAUGUGCAUCCC